GGGGGGGAACCUGAUAGGACCGCUACUUUCUUUUCUCCCUUUUCGACUCUCUUUCCCAUGCUGACCCCUCUUACAUGUCUAAUACACAAUGCACACGCCUGGGGGACAGGGGGAGGAGGGGGAAGCCAAGAGUCAAGAAAACCAAAAAAAAAAAAAGGAAUACAUAAUACUGGCACUAUUAUCGGUACAUCGAAUUGCGGGACAUGGGAACACACCCAUAGGAUAACCAAGCCUAACCUUAAGACCAAAGCACCUACGCUCCUUUCAUGCCAGGAGCUAGUUAACUAUGUCCAGCCUAUUAUUAGGCACUCCUGCUACAAGGUAUACUGUGUCUUAUGAAGGCACCCGACUUAGAGCCACGCUUUAUGUUAAAAGACCGCUUACUAGCAAUAAGGAUGUUACAUACUAUACAUAUGUACGUACGCCAAAACAAUGACGGUUGUCACUCUACAUACUUUACCUUUCUGUUAUCCUAUGUACGCC